ensembl:lncRNA
GGCUGGAUGGCAUCACUGACUCGAUGGACGUGAGUCUGAGUGAACUCCGGGAGUUGGUGAUGGAUAGGGAGGCCUGGCGUGCUGCGAUUCAUGGGGUUGCAAAGAGUCGGACACGGCUACUGAACUGAACUGAACUGAACCUUCUUACUUAGCACAGAGCAGAGAGAAGAAGCAAGCUCUCUCUAUUAUGAGAGCACUAAUCCCAUUUAUGAGGGCUCCACGUCAUGACUUAAUCACUUCUGAAAGAAAGGCUCUGCCUCCUAAAGCCCAUGCAUUCAAGGUUAGGGUUCCAACAUAUGAAUUUUGGGCAGACACAAACAUUCAGUCCAUAACGUGGAUUAAAGAGGUGGAGUGAUGGGAGUUGGGAAGAGGUACUAGUAGUACCAUUACAAUCACACUAUUGGACCAGUGAAGAUGAGUUCUCCAAAAGAAGAAUGAAUCGUUCUCACAAGGUGGAGUGAUGGCCACGUAAGGUUAAGAUCAUUCCCAGAACCUCAGAAGAACACUCCUGAGGGUUACUGUUCUUCUGUCCUGCAUCAUCGUGGUCUUGGAUGUUCAUUGGAAGGACUGAUGCUGAGGCUGAAACUCCAAUACUUUGGCCACCUCAUGCGAAGAGUUGACUCAUUGGAAAAGACCC